CCUACGGGAGGCUGCAGUGAGGAAUAUUGGUCAAUGGACGCAAGUCUGAACCAGCCAUGCCGCGUGCAGGAAGACGGCUCUAUGAGUUGUAAACUGCGUUUGUACGAGGGUAAACGCAGAUACGCGUACCUGUCUGAAAGUAUCGUACGAAUAAGGAUCGGCUAACCCCGUGCCAGCAGCCGCGGUAAUACGGAGGAUUCAAGCGUUAUCCGGAUUUAUUGGGUUUAAAGGGUGCGUAGGCGGUCGGAUAAGUUAGAGGUGAAAUCCCGAGGCUCAACUUCGGAAUUGCCUCUGAUACUGUUAGGCUAGAGAGUAGUUGCGGUAGGCGGAAUGUAUGGUGUAGCGGUGAAAUGCUUAGAGAUCAUACAGAACACCGAUUGCGAAGGCAGCUUACCAAGAUACAUCUGACGUUGAGGCACGAAAGCGUGGGGAGCAAACAGGAUUAGAUACCCCUGUAGUC
rnacentral:rRNA from 1 species